rnacentral:rRNA from 1 species
UACGUAGGUGGCGAGCGUUGUCCGGAUUUACUGGGCGUAAAGAGCGCGCAGGCGGUCGUAUAAGUCGAAUGUGAAAGCCCCUGGCUCAACUAGGGAGAGUCAUUCGAUACUGCUCGACUCGAAGGCAGGAGAGGGAAGUGGAAUUCCGGGUGUAGUGGUGAAAUGCGUAGAUAUCCGGAGGAACACCAGUGGCGAAGGCGACUUUCUGGCCUGUUCUUGACGCUGAGGCGCGAAAGCUAGGGGAGCAAACGGG